rnacentral:rRNA from 1 species
UACGGGGGGGGCAAGCGUUGUUCGGAAUUACUGGGCGUAAAGGGCUCGUAGGCGGCCAACUAAGUCGGACGUGAAAUCCCUCGGCUUAACCGGGGAACUGCGUCCGAUACUGGCGGGCUUGAGUUUGGGAGAGGGAUGCGGAAUUCCAGGUGUAGCGGUGAAAUGCGUAGAUAUCUGGAGGAACACCGGUGGCGAAGGCAGAUCUCUGGGCCGUUACUGACGCUGAGGAGCGAAAGCGUGGGGAGCGAACAGG